GGUCCAGACAUAGCGAGGAUUGACAGAUUGAUAGCUCUUUCUUGAUUCUAUGGGUAUUUUUGGUGGUGCAUGGCCGUUCUUAGUUGGUGGAGUGAUUUGUCUGGUUAAUUCCGUUAAACGAACGAGACCUCAGCCUGCUAAAUAGUUACCUGUCUCUCUUACGAGACUUGAUAACUUCUUAGAGGGACUUUGUGUGCAACCACAAGGAAGUUUGAGGCAAUAACAGGUCUGUGAUGCCCUUAGAUGUCCUGGGCCGCACGCGUGCUACACUGAUACGUACAACGAGGUAUAUGUACUUGUACAUCAAUGCUGCUCCGAAAUAGACACAGCUUAAUCUUCUAAAAUACGUAUCGUGCUGCGGAUAGAUCGUUGAAAAUUUUAUAAUAACAAAUUAUGAAUCUUGAAGGUGGAAUUCCUAGUAAGCGCAGGUCAUUAGCCUGCGUUGAUUACGUCCCUGCCCUUUGYACACACCGCCCGUCGCUCCUACCAAUUUCGAGUGGUUUGGUGAACCUCUUUGGACUGUCGAGCAAUCGCGAAAUUAGAGUGAACCUGAUUACUUAGAGGAAGGAGAAGUCGUAACAAGGUUUCCGUAGGU
rnacentral:rRNA from 1 species